rfam:Exophiala xenobiotica strain CBS 118157 unplaced genomic scaffold supercont1.3, whole genome shotgun sequence.
ACAAUCCGCCAUAGGACUUGGAGAACAGGGCUUCCCGUUCGCUCAGCCGUACUUAAGCCAAGUGCCGGUGGGUUAGUAGUUGCGUCGGUGACGAGCAGCGAAUCCCCACUGCGGAUUGUG